UACGUAGGGUGCAAGCGUUAAUCGGAAUUACUGGGCGUAAAGCGUGCGCAGGCGGUUAUGUAAGUCGGGUGUGAAACCUCCAGGCUCAACCUGGAGACGCCACCCGAUACUGCUAUAGCUUGAGUCCGGUAGGGGAGCGUGGAAUUCCUGGUGUAGCGGUGAAAUGCGCAGAUAUCAGGAGGAACACCAGCGGCGAAGGCGGCGCUCUGGGCCGGUACUGACACUGAGGAGCGAAAGCGUGGGGAGCAAACAGG
rnacentral:rRNA from 1 species